UACGUAGGGUGCGAGCGUUAAUCGGAAUUACUGGGCGUAAAGCGUGCGCAGGCGGCGCCGCAAGUCGAGUGUGAAAUCCCCGAGCUUAACUUGGGAACUGCAUUUGGGACUGCAAGGCUUGAGUGCGGCAGAGGAGACUGGAAUUCCUGGUGUAGCAGUGAAAUGCGUAGAUAUCAGGAGGAAUACCGAUGGCGAAGGCAGGUCUCUGGGCUGACACUGACGCUCAUGCACGAAAGCGUGGGGAGCAAACAGG
rnacentral:rRNA from 1 species